rnacentral:rRNA from 1 species
UACAGAGGUCUCAAGCGUUGUUCGGAUUCAUUGGGCGUAAAGGGUGCGUAGGCGGCGCGGUAAGUCGGGUGUGAAAUCUCGGAGCUUAACUCCGAAACUGCAUUCGAUACUGCCGUGCUUGAGGACUGGAGAGGAGACUGGAAUUUACGGUGUGGCGGUGAAAUGCGUAGAUAUCGUAAGGAAGACCAGUGGCGAAGGCGGGUCUCUGGACAGUUCCUGACGCUGAGGCACGAAGGUCAGGGGGAGCAAACGGG